rnacentral:rRNA from 1 species
UACGUAGGGUGCAAGCGUUAAUCGGAAUUACUGGGCGUAAAGCGUGCGCAGGCGGUUUGCUAAGACAGGUGUGAAAUCCCCGGGCUUAACCUGGGAACUGCGCUUGUAACUAGCAGGCUAGAGUGUGGCAGAGGGGGGUGGAAUUCCAGGUGUAGCAGUGAAAUGCGUAGAUAUCUGGAGGAACACCGAUGGCGAAGGCAGCCCCCUGGGCUAACACUGACGCUCAUGCACGAAAGCGUGGGGAGCAAACAGG